AUUUAGUCAAAGAGGAGUUAUUGAUUUAUGUAUUAUCUAUCUCAGACAUCUAGCAGCACUAGGCACAAAAUUGAUUUUAAUGCUAACAUCGAUAGGAAACACACAGAGUUAAUUGCGAGACCUAACUGGAUGUGCCUAAUAACCUGAAUGCCAUGGAACCUAUGGACGACAAAUGUUUAGUGGUUCACAUAGAGAAAAUAGUCGAGUCUUACCCUUUUUUCCUUCUGCUAGUUUCAUUGCAAAGAUAAAGUCAAUAAUUUUCCAAAUUAAGGACAAAUUCAACCUGGCCGUGACUUGGACGUAGCCCCUUUGUGACUGGUGUUGAUACUGUUUUGUUUUAUUCAGUGUGUACCGAUAUCUUUGGACUAACCAUAUCUUACAUGCUUUCUCAAAUUCCAUAUUUAGCAAUACCUCCUAGUAGAUGCUAGUUGCUAGGAUCGUGACCGAUUAACCUAGAGUACAGGGAACGUACAUCGAUAGAGCCAAAGGACACGCGCGGUGCUAACCUAACAAACUCUACUUGUCAUGGCUAGCAAUACCAGGUAGUUUGCGCCCCCCCCCCCCCCACCCCACCCCACACACACACAGUUUGAGCAUUGUUGGUAUGGACGCACAAAGUGGUCUUGAAGUCCUAGAACAAUGGUGAUGCCCCCUUGGUCAAGAUGUCGGCGAACUGCUGGCAUGAAGGGAUUUGAAGAACAAGAAAUCAAUGAUAACGAUGGCAUUUGCUGAAAGCCUGAACUUGAAAUGGAUUUAUUUGCUCAUUUGUUCACUGUGGUCUGGGAGAAGGAUUCACUUUUCCUGACAGUAAGUUUCCUUUAAACAACGAUUGUGUCCUAACUAUCAGAUUAAUUGCAUGUCAAUAUCUUUGGGCCUCUGGAUGUCAAAACUCUGGAUGAAUUCUGAUGAGCUUCAAUCGGUACCGAGGAGAAGAUCAAUGUGACUCGGGCGUCUGCCCCCGCAUCAUCCUAGAGGCGACCCGGGCGGCGCCGCCUCCCAUCUCUCAUCACCAACCCCCAAACCCUAGCUCAGGUGGCUGUCGCCGCCAUCGCCGCGACGGCUAGCGGCUGAGCCGAACUUGGUCUCGGCACGCUCCUCCUAUCCCUUUCCUUCACUCCCUUCUUCCCCCGCUUCCCCUGCUCCGUUGGCUCCAAGAUCAUUCAGGUCGCCUGCCAACCGCCACAUUUGUCGGCUUCCGGGUGGCCAAUCGUUAGAUCCACCGCCCCCUUGUUGGUGAUAUGCCCAAGAGACAAUCAUGUGUGGGCCGAAUAUUGAUCCGAGAAAGAUUAGAACCUUAAUGGGCCUCCGGCGUGAUGGCCCAUUAUUGGGGUCUAUAUAAUGAGGGGCAGGGCUAGGGGCGGAUGACGACUCACGCGCCAUAAACCCUAGCCACUGCCGCCUCGCCACAAAACCCUAGCCGACCACGCGGUGCUAGCACACCAGCGACCGGCGUUCCCACCCUGUACGUGUGGACUUCGUGGAGGCGUUGCUGCUGUUGCGACGCUGAUCGGCGAGGAGGAGACGGAACGACUACUUCCCCUACUUCGACGUGCGAUUAUGUUGGAUGAGUCUACUCCAACACAUCUUCCGCUACGCUGCGCAUCGAGGGGUAAUGAUCCAUGAUCAUCCGCUUACAUGAGAUCCUAAUGCGGUAGAAUUAGGAAUUCUUGCUAGCGUAGCGGUCCCAUUUCCUAACACCCCUGUCCCGGAUCCAUCGUUUAUAGGCCCAGGGUGGCCUUCUCCCUCUCGUCGGCGCCGCCUUGAGGGCUGUGGCUGGUGGCCAUCGAUUCGUGCCAUGGUGACUGCGGCCAACAUGAUUUGAUUGGGAUCCCGUCGACGAUGGUGCCCGCCGUGCCUCCUAGUGCUUGCGUUGCUGGCACUAUUGAGGGGUAUGCAGCCUUCCCGUUCUUCAUGGUGGGGGCCGCCACCAUCGGCGGUGGCCACCACCGCUACCGGUGGUCUGCCCCAUCAGUCGUCACCGUGUGCUGCCCCUUACCUUCAAUUCUUCAUGCCGAGGGAGGCAGAAAGCCGUCAGAGUUGUCCUCUUCUUAUUUGAUCUCAAGAUGGAGGACGUAUUCUUCGCUCAUGUGGUCUCCGCCAUGGGGGCUUGCCUCCGAUUGCCACCCCCCGUUGGGGUCCUGCUGGGCACUCUAUGGGCAUUCUAGUAGAGCUGAUCCAGGUGAAAAUCAAAGAACCGACUUACUGGUUCAGGCGGCCGCAACAUCUUAAUGUUUCUCUCCUCUUGAGGAAUCUUUGGAGACCUUGAUGGCAAUACCAUGGGUGAUCGGAAGGCACAGGACCGUCGAUGAUCCUUACAUUAAGUGUUUCUAUGAAGAUAGUUGAUGAUGCGAGAUUUUUAUUACGAUGUGAGGACCAAAGCAAGGUUGAAGGAAAGACGUAAAAGAAGAUUGAAGCUUAGUCUUUCACUUUCUUUCUUUUUUCUUCCUUUCUUGUCUUUUGUGUUCCUCGGUUGGAGGUUUAUAGUCUAAGUACUCGUGUACGCUUAGCCAGAUGUAUUUCUUUGUGGUCAUAGGCAUUCAUCCGUGAAUGUUUAAGAUUGGGUUUUUCCCUUAAUCUAAAAAACCAAAGUCUCCUUGUUCUGUUUGUUUCUUUCAACAUAAAUUUUGUUUGAGUUGAUAUUCAAAAGUUUAUUUUAUUUCGAGAUCAAAUCGAUUUUGUUUGCAUGAAUGCACCUAGAGAAUGGUCGGCAUUCUUCUAUAGUUGAUCUCUUUUUGCAUCUUCUCUUUAACAUAGCAACAAUUGCUUUGUGUGGUAUGUCAGAUACCUCCAAUCAGUAACAGCUUGCUGAAAACAGUGCACAAUGAGUUUCAAAUUCAACACAUUGUAUAUUUGUAUGCAUGAGCUACAAGAAAGUAUUGCUAGUGUGUUCAACUACAAGCUGGUACCUUGUGGUUGCCCGUGUAUACUACAAGCUGUGCACAGGACCCAUGUUCUUCAGUUGUUUUGGGUAGGAUAGGAGUAAAUUAGUUUUAAUUUAUUAGCUACCCCCACGCUGGACUAGUUUGCCUACACAAGCCUUGCAUUUUUUUCUCUUUUUUAAAACCAUGGGUUCAUAAAAGAACAUUCUGUUUGUAGGUGUCUUUCACUCAAACUUUCUGUGAAUUGAAUUUCGAAAUGAGAAGCUCUGUUUAUUGUUUAAAACCAAGGCAGUUUGUAAUAUGAACAGGGGUUUAACGAGCAUGAUUAUCUCUUUUUGUUGCGGCAGGUAUUAGUAGUGCAAAUAUGGAUCUAACAAGUGCACGAAACAAUGGUUGAUAUUAUAUGGAUAUCUCUAUCUCUAUCUCUAUCUCUAUCUCUAUCUCUAUCUCUAUCUUUGAUGUGUGCUGUAGGGCAAUCCUGCAAGGUCUUCACCGGAAUUGCUCUAGAGUCAAGACACGGUUCCAUCGCAGCCGGCUUCGAGAGGAUCAAAUCUGGUGGUUCCACUAUAGCGGCGUGGCCAUCGUGUUCGGCAACCUCACAGGCAUCGUCCCCUUUCCGCCUCUCUAUUCCCCGACCCGUCGACUCGGACAGGCCACCGAUGAUUUUGCAUGGUGCGUUACUCCAGUACCGGUUCCCCUCCCCAUUGGUCAAGCUUUUUUCUUUGUAGUUCCAAGCAGGCGCAGGCGCAGGCGCAGGAAGGUGCAACAAGGGGGGAUGAGGAAUGAUAGCAUGGUUCUUGCAUUGAAGGUGCAUUCCUUGAAUAUGAUGCACUGUGACCUGAAGUCUGACAACCUGUUAUGGGCUAUGGCUAUAUAAAGGAUAUUGAAAGUUGGCCUUAUCAACAGCACGGACGGCCUAUGUCAGGCCCAGACAUGAGCAGCAACCGCUAAAGUUGAUCGCAAAGGACAUGUAGACUACAUGGCGCCCAAGGUUCUGUGUGGCAUGGCCCAUGGUUGGACACUGCCUGCUGCAUCUUGUGCUUGUAGUUUCAGUGCUAAUGGGAAGGGAAGUGUGAACUGUGAAGUCAUAUUCAGUGACAUGGUCCUAAGUCCUGUGGUCAUAGCAGUAGCACGAUGUGUAUUUUGCUGGAGGGUUUCAAAGACACAUCAAAGGUUAUCUUAUAGAAGACAAGUGUUGCAUUGAGGCUGAAGUCGCAGUCCUUUGAUCCUCCAAGACAGAAUAGACAAUGCUCCUUAUGCCUUAACUGUGUUCCCUUGCUCCAACAUUAGACCACUCUUACUGUAAAGGCUACCGAUGAUGUAUGUGGCUGUACACUUGAGAAAGGAUAUUCAUAUCUUGCUUCUGCUUAAUAAAUCCACGUCAAAAUCAGGCAAGUAUAUUUCGAUGUAAAUCCUUUUGACUAUGCAGUUUGUGAUAAUUAAUGUGCUUUCCUUUUCCAAUUCCAACUUCAGUUUAGUGCACUACUUUCCUCUCAGAAAAUUGCAAAAGGCAACCAUGAACAACGUCAGUGACCUUGUUAUUUCAAUUGCUCCUUGAUCUUUUGCUUCCAUUUCUUGUCAGUUUCAGAAGUUCUUAAAUCUAUUUAUUUUGUUGGUAUCUAGACCUGAUGUAUCUAUUGAUGUAUCUAUUUCUAAAAUUGUCAGAUUUUUUUUGACAGCCAUCCAAGAUCCCCUCGACGUCAGCCCCAUAUAUGUCCCUACCAGACGCCAGCCCAACCUCUGCAAGAUCGCUGAUGACUCCAAGCCGUACGUAGCCUCCACCACUUGAUUGACAACACUGCUCCCAUGGCUGUAAUGGAGUGUGGAGCUUCUUCUAAAGUUUCUGAGGCAAUGAAACAUAUCAUGGAGACUUGUCACGCAUGUCGUUUCUUAAUUACUUGUAGUUAUUUGUAUCAUUAGAAGAUAUUUGUUCUUUUUUCUGUUGUGAAUGAUGCACUGACUUUUGGGCAGUUCAUGAAAUGAUUCAAUAUUGAACAUAAUAUCAUUCUAAUUGUUUGAAAAAAUGUUGCUUCAUCAUGUAACAUCUGGAUACAUCUGUAAUUCGUUGCA